rnacentral:misc_RNA from 1 species
GAAGUAGUGACUGGAUUAGAAGAAGCUUGUGCAUCUGCAGCGGCAAUGGGCCCAACUGGCACAAGCUGUAUCGGUGAAGAUCCAACCCUUGACCAGUUCAUGGAGGCUUACUGUGAGAUGCUGACCACGAGCAAGAGCUCUUGAAGCCCUUCAAGGAAGCCAUGCUUUUCCUUCAGAGGGUGGAGUGCCAAUUCAAAGCCCUCACUGUUUCCUCUCC